UAGCAGAGGGAGCCUGUCACCCUGCACGACACUGCUGACUUCCACACUUCCCCUAUUGACAAGCACAGGCCGCUACAGUAACACUAGGGGCGCUCAAGCGGUCCACCUCCAUACAGCGCCUGCCAGCGGGGAGAGCGGCCUUUGAUAUCCAACUGAUGUGCGGCUGGGCCUGGCUGACACGCAAGCGCUGGGUCUCCAUGGCAACAGUGACGCGCCGGGCGGAAGUGACCUGGCGGCUCGGCACCCGGAAGCAGGGACGCGAGGAGGAGAUGCGGCAGCUGGCGCGCUCCGGAGGUAUAUAGGGGGACCCAAGCAUUACUAUUUCCUGGGCCUUCUCACCAACAGUUUAACCUGGAUUUACAUUCUGCACCACUCUGCCCAAAUAAAAAUGUCUCUUUUCCUGUAACCCUGGUAUAGCACUGGCUGCCGGAUUUCAUAUUUUAUGUUCCAAAAAACUUUUUUACAAUCUGUUUGUGUUUUGUUUUAAAUGGACAUUAUUGGUCCUUCACUGCACAUGCUCUGGAAAAGCAAGAUGCCCUGAAGAUAAUGAACUGCCACCUGGGUCCUCAAGAGGCAACGUCCAAAGGUUAUGGAGAAGAGUUGUGGGCGAGCAUCCACACUUUGGACACCUACCCGAUUCGUCUGUUAUAAAGUGACUUCUCUGGCUCUGAGAGACAUAAGCCCUAUAUAACGUUUUAAUGUGGAUUUCUUGUAAGAUUGAGGAUCUCAAAAUACGUAGAGUCAUACCAUAGUAUUUGAAUAAUGUGUCCUCUUGUAUCAAAGAUGGGAAAUCUUUACACCAAUUAUCUGUUGAAGAUUUCCAAAGAUUUUUUGUCCAUGUUUUAAAAAUUUCUGCAUAGACAAGUUUGGGUUUGUAU